ACCCACGUCCCGCCCCGGUGGUCACGUGACACCUGGGGUCUCCGCGCGUGGUGGAGGGGGCGGAAGAGCUCGGAGAGCAGAGAGCCUCGGCGUCUUCUCUAGAUUCUCGGUACACGCACGAUUACGUGCUGUCGCUGCGUCCCUCCAACCUGUUCUCUGGGGCUCGAAUGGUGGGAAGGCCUGAGAGGGGCCAGACCUGCAGAAGCCCUGAGGCCUCUGGUGCCACCAGGUAAGACUGCAGCUCAAAGAGGGAAUCAGCCUUUCUGUAGCCUGGAGACCUCUCCUCUGUCAGCACAAAAGGAACCUGUGGGGAUUCAGGAUGAUCCUGGAACAACAGCAUGCUACAGGACCACAGUAAGAUUUUGGGGCCUCACAGGGGGGCCCAUCCCAUUAGGACAGAAGGGGAGACUCCUCCAGGGUGUACUGAGUAACAUGAUUCAGUGGGAGUCAGAUGAAUCCCACAACCCCAAGUACAAUGUGGGUGUGGCGAGCAGUGAGUUUCUCACAAAGGGGGUGUGUCAAGCAAUCAGACUCAGGGAGUCAAAUAAAGCACACACCUAGGUUGAAAAAAAACGGAAAUAGAGAAACAUAUGAGUGAAUGUGAAUACAUGGAAUUAAAAAUUUAGGAAAAUAUCACAGUGCACAAAAUGAGACAGUGAGAGGGGUGCUCCCUGCUCUGGGAGCUCCAAGGCUAGUGAUUUCUUGCUUGGUGUCACUAGCCUGGCUCUGCUUGGAGGAGUCUAAAAGCCAGAACAACUCCAUCCUGGCACUGAAUGGCUAAAGUUGAGGAACUACAACUGAGUCCUCCUUGGCUUAAGGAGGUUUUAGAGGAG
rnacentral:lncRNA from 1 species